UUAACCCCAGUUUCACCAGAGUCUGUGA
rnacentral:sRNA from 1 species